CGCCAACACACUGAAGUUUCAACAAGUGGGUAUUCCUCCUUCACCAUGGGCACUUCUUCCUGCAUCCUUUGCUGGUUCUCCUCCCUCCCCACCUUACUCCUUGCAGCGCCCUGGGCUCAGGCCUCCAUGUCUUUCUUCCUUACACUCUCUCCCUUGUGAGCUCAUCCAUCUGUAUGCUGAUGGCUUCCACAUUUCUAAUGCUAGCCUCGACCCUCUUCCCAGAACUCCAGACUCCUACAAGCAGUUGCCCAUUCAAACUCUCCCCUUGGGUGUUUAAUAGAUAUAUCAGAUCUAAUAUGUCUAAUAAUGCAUCUCAAAUGGAAUUCCUCAUCUUCCCCUCUGCAAACCUGUUCCCCACCGCCCCUACAGUCUUCCCCACUUGGUUAAUGAUGGCUCCAUCCUUCUGGUGACACCUUGGAGUCAUCCUUGAUUCUGCUAUUUCUUUCACUUCAAAUACCUAAACCAUCAGGAAACCCGGACAGCUCCACCUUCCACCUCUGUUAGAACCUCAGCACCUAGCCAUCCCCCAUCACCUCCCCCACUCCCACCACCCUAGCAUAAGGCACCAUCACAUCUUACCUGGACUCUUGCAGUAGCCUACUAAUUGCUGUCCCUGCUGCGGUACUUGACCCCUAUAGUAAUGCUCUACAUAGCUGCCAGGAUGAUCCCUUUAAAACACAAACACUAGACCCAGUCACACCUGCUUAUAAUCCUCCAAGAGGCAAAGUCUUUGCCAAGGCCACAAGGCCCUGUACUACCUGAACCUCCCCGCUUGCUAAGACCUCCCUCUCUUACUCUGUGCCAGCCACGCCUACCUUGGUGCUUUCCGUGAACACACCAGGGGCACACUCCCACCUUGGAUCUUCAUACUGGCUGUUCACUCUUCUCAUUCCUCACCUCCCUCAGACCUCUGCUCAGAGGUCACCUUUGCUGUGAGGCUUACCUUGACUGUCCCAUUUAAAAGUGCACCCCGACAUUCUGCAUGGUGGCUUCCCUCUUCCAUUGUGCAUGUCCUCUUCUUACAUACUGGAGUUUCUUGAGCCUUGUGUUUGCUGUCUUCUCCCUCCAGCAUUAUCCGUUUUGUGCCCUGCAGCAUUCCCACAGCAACCAGCACAGCCCUUGUGUGGUGGAGGUGCCGGGCAUACUGAGAUGCAUCUGUCAGCAUCUGCCUCCUGGUACCUUGGGCCUGCAUGUCUGGCAGGCAGGUAGAAGAACACGCUGGCCAUUUCAAUGUUAAGACAAAGAGGUAGAGAAGGCUGGAUGAAGGAGGUGAUGACUGAACCAUAUCCUGAGGCAGCUGGGGUUUCCAGGAAGAGGACAGAGAGAAGGACAUUCAGGUGGAGGAGCCAGCAGAUGUGACAACCAGUGCACAGAGAGAUUAACUAACUUGCCGUCCAGUGGGCAUGUGGUGGAGCCCAGGGUGAAACCCAGGCAGUCUCUAAAGCAUUGCCUUCCAACAUGCAAUGGAGUGUGAAAUGCGGAAGCCAUGGGGAAGCACAGGAAAUCGGCCAUGUAAGAUAGGAAGCAAUGGUUCGAUUUAUUCAGUGGUGACGUCCACCACAGCUGCAUUCCAGUAAUCUGCACCCCUCAUCCCAACAUCCUCACCCUGCUCUGCCUGUGUUGGACAACUCGUCUUCUUGACCGGAGGUGAUCUCCCACAGUGAGGUAGCCCUACCCUUUUGUUUCAGCUCUUGGAAAACCCCAAACCUCAAGGCCAUACACUCCUUGUGGCCAAGUGAGCAUCUUGGCAACUUCCCGGCUUUUCCAAAGAGAACUAACUCCUGCUGGGGGCCCCCCAAGUCACCCCUCAUGGCCCUUACUUCUAGUGCUCUGGAAAUGGCUGAAACCAAUGGAUUAACUUGCUUUCCCUAUUAAAUAUUUACAUAAACACGCUCGGGAAGGUGUGUGUAAGUUAUCAAUAAUGCAAGGCCAGCCUAGGCUCGGUGAGAGCUAAGAGACCCAAAUUGUAUCAUCAUAAUCCAUUAUUCACAUAUAAUGCGUCUAUUCUCCUCCAUUAGCGCAGGCAGGAAAUGCCCCUGAGUGCCGGGCAGGGCUUUGGAAAGCGCAAUAAAUGGCGGACAGACACAUGGCGGGAGGGCGG
rnacentral:lncRNA from 1 species